rnacentral:rRNA from 1 species
UACAGAGGGGGCAAGCGUUGUUCGGAAUUACUGGGCGUAAAGGGCGCGUAGGCGGCGUGUCAAGUCAAUUGUGAAAUCUCCGGGCUUAACUCGGAACGGUCAAUUGAUACUGAUGUGCUAGAGUGCAGAAGGGGCAAUCGGAAUUCUUGGUGUAGCGGUGAAAUGCGUAGAUAUCAAGAGGAACACCUGAGGUGAAGACGGGUUGCUGGGCUGACACUGACGCUGAGGCGCGAAAGCUAGGGUAGCAAACGGG